rnacentral:rRNA from 1 species
GAUGAACGCUGGCGGCGUGCCUAAUACAUGCAAGUCGAGCGAACAGACGAGGAGCUUGCUCCUCUGACGUUAGCGGCGGACGGGUGAGUAACACGUGGAUAACCUACCUAUAAGACUGGGAUAACUUCGGGAAACCGGCGCUAAUACCGGAUAAUAUAUUGAACCGCAUGGUUCAAUAGUGAAAGACGGUUUUGCUGUCACUUAUAGAUGGAUCCGCGCCGCAUUAGCUAGUUGGUAAGGUAACGGCUUACCAAGGCGACGAUGCGUAGCCGACCUGAGAGGGUGAUCGGCCACACUGGAACUGAGACACGGUCAAGACUCCUACGGGAGGCAGCAGUAGGGAAUCUUACGCAAUGGGCGAAAGCCUGACGGAGCAACGCCGCGUGAGUGAUGAAGGUCUUCGGAUCGUAAAACUCUGUUAUUAGGGAAGAACAAAUGUGUAAGUAAAUAUGCACGUCUUGACGGUACCUGAUCAGAAAGCCACGGCUAACUACGUG